rnacentral:rRNA from 1 species
GACGAACGCUGGCGGCGUGCUUAACACAUGCAAGUCGAACGGAGCACCCCUGAAGGAGUUUUCGGACAACGGAUGGGAAUGCUUAGUGGCGGACUGGUGAGUAACGCGUGAGGAACCUGCCUUCCAGAGGGGGACAACAGUUGGAAACGACUGCUAAUACCGCAUGAUGCGUUGGAGCCGCAUGACUCCGACGUCAAAGAUUUAUCGCUGGAAGAUGGCCUCGCGUCUGAUUAGCUAGUUGGUGAGGUAACGGCCCACCAAGGCGACGAUCAGUAGCCGGACUGAGAGGUUGGCCGGCCACAUUGGGACUGAGAUACGGCCCAGACUCCUACGGGAGGCAGCAGUGGGGAAUAUUGGGCAAUGGACGCAAGUCUGACCCAGCAACGCCGCGUGAAGGAAGAAGGCUUUCGGGUUGUAAACUUCUUUUAAGGGGGAAGAGCAGAAGACGGUACCCCUUGAAUAAGCCACGGCUAACUACGUGCCAGCAGCCGCGGUAAUACGUAGGUGGCAAGCGUUGUCCGGAUUUACUG